AGGAGCACACUCUACAAAGGCCUGACUGGAGAUUUGCCUGAUCUAUCCGUCCUUCAGAUGACAGCGGCUCGCUUCAAGAGCAGGUGAAGCAAGUUGGGACAAUGUUGAAGACAUUUGCUCGCACUGGGCAAUCAGCUUCGGUUUUUGGCAAUCAAAUGUGGGAGGGACCUAAAGACAACCGUGUGGCGAAUGCUUCAGAGUAUCUUCUCUAAUCACCUUUCCAUCAAUACAACCUGGACUGGUGUAGGGGAUAAAGCAUGUUUUAGAGACAUGUUC